rnacentral:rRNA from 1 species
GCACUAAAUGAAACUAGAUACAAGCGAGCGGCGGACGGGUGAGUAACACGUGGGUAACCUGCCCAAGAGACUGGGAUAACACCUGGAAACAGAUGCUAAUACCGGAUAACAACACUAGACGCAUGUCUAGAGUUUGAAAGAUGGUUCUGCUAUCACUCUUGGAUGGACCUGCGGUGCAUUAGCUAGUUGGUAAGGUAACGGCUUACCAAGGCAAUGAUGCAUAGCCGAGUUGAGAGACUGAUCGGCCACAUUGGGACUGAGACACGGCCCAAACUCCUACGGGAGGCAGCAGUAGGGAAUCUUCCACGAUGGACGAAAGUCUGAUGGAGCAACGCCGCGUGAGUGAAGAAGGGUUUCGGCUCGUAAAGCUCUGUUGGUAGUGAAGAAAGAUAGAGGUAGUAACUGGCCUUUAUUUGACGGUAAUUACUUAGAAAGUCACGGCUAACUACGUGCCAGCAGCCGCGGUAAUACGUAGGUGGCAAGCGUUGUCCGGAUUUAUUGGGCGUAAAGCGAGUGCAGGCGGUUCAAUAAGUCUGAUGUGAAAGCCUUCGGCUCAACCGGAGAAUUGCAUCAGAAACUGUUGAACUUGAGUGCAGAAGAGGAGAGUGGAACUCCAUGUGUAGCGGUGGAAUGCGUAGAUAUAUGGAAGAACACCAGUGGCGAAGGCGGCUCUCUGGUCUGCAACUGACGCUGAGGCUCGAAAGCAUGGGUAGCGAACAGGAUUAGGUACCCUGGUAGUCCAUGCCGUAAACGAUGAGUGCUAAGUGUUGGGAGGUUUCCGCCUCUCAGUGCUGCAGCUAACGCAUUAAGCACUCCGCCUGGGGAGUACGACCGCAAGGUUGAAAACUCAAAGGAAUUGACGGGGGCCCGCACAAGCGGUGGAGCAUGUGG